UACGAAGGGGGCUAGCGUUGUUCGGAUUUACUGGGCGUAAAGCGCACGUAGGCGGAUCUUUAAGUCAGAGGUGAAAUCCCAAGGCUCAACCUUGGAACUGCCUUUGAUACUGGAGAUCUUGAGUCCGGGAGAGGUGAGUGGAACUGCGAGUGUAGAGGUGAAAUUCGUAGAUAUUCGCAGGAACACCAGUGGCGAAGGCGGCUCACUGGUCCGAUACUGACGCUGAGGUGCGAAAGCGUGGGGAGCAAACAGG
rnacentral:rRNA from 1 species